CUUUGCAAUGGCUCAGAGCUUUUUGGUUCAGGAUUUGUUUUUGGCUCAGUGGAGAGCGUGAGCUCUCAGAGCUUUUUUGUUCGGGUUCGGUUUUUCGGUUUGGGUUGGCAGAGUGGCUGCCAGUGAAGAGUGUGAGCUCCCCCUGGCAGUGGUGGACAGACGUGUCCUGAAGCCACAGGCCACGUCCUUGCAAGGGACACCUUGGAGGACUCGGGGAGGGAUGGAUGGGCCCUCAUUCAGUGAGAAGGGAUUCUGCUGCCAACCUGUCAGGUCUUGCCAGCUAUUCUUUUUCUCAGGUUGAGUUCACUGUCUGUCUUUAAUCUUUGC
rnacentral:lncRNA from 1 species